ensembl:lncRNA
AUGACCUCACUGACCGUCUCCAAGCUGCUUUUGGGGGCAGAUGCCAUCAGGAGGGACUCUGGCUUGUGGAAAUACUAUGUUCUCUUCCUGCCUUCGGGUGACUGUACAAACUUAAAAAAAAAAAAAAAAAAAAAAGCCCAGGCUGCAGCUCCACACAGGGUGUCUAGCCAAAAUGCAAAGUUUUACCACAGCACACAAGUAGACAGUGUUUUUCAAGUGCGGGAACCGAGUGAGGUGCCUUUCAGCACCUUUGCCGGCACCUUCUUUAAAAAUGAUUUAAAUUGGAGGCAAUAGCAUCGAACGCUGAACAUCUGACAUUCAGACAAGACUUAAUGAAUCGUACACUUUAACAACAUCACUCUCCUCCAGCCACUUCACUUGGAGCCCAUGGUGGUUGUUUCUCCCCCCCACAAAAACAUUUGUUCUGCAGACCAUUUGCUGGUUAGAGUGUCCUGGGCAACUCUUCAUUCAUGGCAGGGAGAGCUGGUCCAAGAGAGACUGCAAACCUGAGCUCCUCCCGUGUCCAGUCUCUCCGGCUCUGGACUUCAGACUCGAGAGACAACAGUGGUCCUUCGGAACCCGACUUAGAACCACCUCGGUCUCUCCCCAGCGCGGUCUACUGCAGAGUAUUUAAGCUGCGCGACCAAAUGUCCCCAACCUACAACAGCCAGUGCUGUCAUUUGACUGAUUUGAAUCAAACUGACAAAAAAGCUAUGACUCUGUGGAUCGGAAAAUACCAGUGUUAGGGGGAAAAGACAACAAUUCUGAUACUCAGGUUGGAGCGAAUCAUUAUCUUCAGUGUUGUUAUUUAAUCCUCUCCCCGUGGGGGUGACAGAAUGUCUCAUAGCUUGCCUGACAACUGCUAAGGACACAGGCAGCGUGGUCCAAGGCUGCCCAGCUUCACCAAGGACCAUACGCUAUUGUCUCAUGCACCUUUUGGACGGGCUACCAAUUCAAUGCCAUUGGCAGAGAAAGCGGGAAGGGGGGGCAUUCCCUCGGGGCUGCAACGUAUGCAAACAAUUUAAUCUUCCAAUCCAAUCCUUAAUGUAAAUGUUUAAUAUAAACCUGAUGUUAACACGAUGUACAUGAAUUUACUGGCCGGCAAAGCUGGGAUUUACAUCAUUCUGAAAAUCAGAUGUUCUUUGCAGCAGGGAUUGGGAAAACCUUUAAAUAUGGCAAGGUUUUCCCUCUGAAUGGCAGGUGCAUCCCUAACGCGCACAGGCCCAGGGCUCCCCCGGGGGACCGGGUGUUCACAGAUGCCAGAUCCCGUGUGCAAGUUAAAAGAUCCUCAGCUGUUGCUUCGUAUACCUCCCCGUGAAUGGCAGGUUACAUUCUAGACCGGUUACUGGCAAACUAAGGUCUAGGGGCCAAAUCAGGCCCACAGAUUGUUUGUCUUUUUAACAACUUUCAUGAAAUAUAAUUGAUAUACAAGAAAUAGCACAUUUGUAAUGUAUACAAUUUGAUGAGUUUGGACAUAAGCACACACCUGCGAAACUGUCACUACAGUCAAGGUGAUAGACGCAUCCAUCACCCCCAAAAGUUUCCUUGUGCCCCAUUGGGUUUUUUUUUGUUGUUUUUGUUUUGUUUUGUUUCGUUUUGUUUUUGUACUUUGGGGUGAAGAACACGUAAUGUGAGAUCUACCCUCUUAACACAUUUUUAGGGGAAGGCGUUUAAUGGAAGUAAGUUUUGGUUAUGGAAGAAGAGUAUCUUCUAGGGAUCUUCUGUAGAACACAGUGUCUGUCAUUAACAAUACUGAAUUGCCCACUGCCUGUUUUUGCAUGGUACACAAGCUAAGAAGGGGUUAAAGGGUUGAAAAGAGUAGAGAAAAGGGAAGGGGUACCUGGGUGGCUCUGUCUGUUAAGCUUCUGACUUCGGCUCAGGUCAUGGUCUCACGGUUUGUGGGUUCAAGCCCCACGUCAGGCUCUGUGCUGGCAGCUCAGAGCCUGGAGACCGCUUGGGAUUCGGAUUUCGUGUCUCCCUUUCUCUCUACCCCUCCCCUGCUCAUGUUCUAUCUCUCUCUCAAAAAUAAAUAAGCAUUUUUAAAAAUUUUAAAACA